rnacentral:lncRNA from 1 species
CAGAACUCAGACAGAAAAAUCAAGGCAGGCUUUAACGACUAGGACAUCCUGAUAACUAGAAAGAAUAUCUUUACUGUCUUAGGGUUUUUAUUGCUAUGUGAUGAGUCACCAUGAUCAAAGCAACACUUAUAAAGGACAACAUUUUACUGGGGCUGGUUUACUGGUUCAGAGGUUCAGUCCAUUAUCAUCAAGGCCAGAGCACGGCAGCACCCAGGCAGACAUCGUGUUAGAGAAGGAGUUGAGAAUUCUGGCAUCUUGAUUGGAAGGCAGUUAGAAGACUGACUCUUUUGCACUGGACAGAGCUUCAAGGCCCAUCUCCACAGGAACAUACUUUCUCUAACAAGGCCGUAUCUUCUAACAGUGUCACUCUAUAUGGGCCAAGCAUAUUCAAACCACUACCUUCACCUUAAAUUGAUACCUGUUGCUGUACUGCCUCCUUCCUGCUGUCCUGAGACCCACAGACAUAGUCUUGGAAACAAUCACUGGCUCUAUUGCAUUAUGUAGCCACCAACCAUAAACCAUACAGUUUGCCUGUAUAUCUAAUAAAAAUACCUCUCCAUUUUAGACCACUCUGUGUGAUCCCCCAAGAAGGCAAAUAAUUUCUUCUGUCAAUGGCUAUGAUUCCCCGGAAGAUAUUGAUGCAUUUGGGAGUAUAAUUUGGCAGAGGAAGGAGAUAACCUAAAACCACAAGCUGCCCUAAACACUCUAUUACGAACAAAGAGAAAACAGCUGAAUUGAGUUGGAGGAAAGCCUUGUUGAAUGAUAAAUUGCCAGACCCUUUGAGGCUCAGGAGGUUUCAGCCCAUUCACCCCAGCUGCAUUUUUAUGAAUACUCGAGGAAAGAACUUUGAAACUGAAAGGCUCUGACUCAUGGUUCGACUGUCUGCAUUAGCUCCCAAAGGUGGCCCGAGUCUUAAGAAUCACAGCUGCGAAAUUCUUAGUGUGCAGGUCGCAGUGUACAGGCCUGGGCCAUUAUGCUAGUCGUUGCUCUCCUCAUACACAAUGGAAUCAGCCAAAAACAAUGCCAAUACUUGUGUUUCAACUUAAGCUGUGUAUUUAGUUUAAGAGUCACGAUUCUAGAAAUUUCUCCUUUGAGCAAUGGUGAUCAAGUGUGAAGGCUUUGAGUCAACUGGGCAAGUCUCUGCUUCUAGGGGUAUUUGUCUUGUUUUCUCCCUUCUGCCAUCUUGGAAGCCUCCUGAAAGAAGUUUCUCCUCACUCUUCCAGAUCCUCUCUCGUCAAGGAGCAUGGAUUCUCCAUUUGAAAGCCAGAAUUAAUGGUCAAAGAGAAAUAUAGCAGAUGAAAAACAGAUACAAUCUACCAUACCAAUUGAUUUGAAUGUUACAAACAAGCUUAACUUUAAAGGAGACGGUUUGGCAGCUGGGGGAAGGACAUGGUGCUGAUGUCAAAGGUUGCAGCUUAUCUUCUACCGAGGAUCCAAUCCUUCAUCUUGCUGCACAAGGCUGCCUCUCACAGGGGCCAGUGAUGAAUCUCAUCCUUGAUCUCCACUACGUCUGCAGGUUGGUUCCAAGCUUGCCCUGAGUCCUAAGUACUAGAAACCAUCACUUCCCAACUGCAGAUAAAGGAUAUUAACGUGGCAAAAAUAUUCCAGAAAGCAGCAACAAUAAGCAAAAAAUAUUUUGUGGUUUUAUUGGAGGGAAAUAGAUGAACUGUGAAUGUCAGAGUUCCGAGGAUCACUCAAGUUGGAUGGUGUGUGUGCAGGAGUCUCACCGUAUUUUUGGGUUUAUAUAAAAUGGCAAAGAUUGGAACACUGAAGGAAUUUCCUUUAUAAAAAUACACCGAGUUAUUUACUCACUAACCCUAGAAACCAAACAAGGUUUCUGCUACUUCUUAGAAUUUUCUGUGCUUUUUAAAAUGACUUUGAAAAUAACAUUCACAAUAGCUUCAAAAACUGAUUAUAAAUAAACCUACCCAAGGUGAAAAUUCUCCUGCAGUGAAAAACUGUAAGCUGCUGAAUAAACAGAAGAAGACCCCAGAAGAUCUUCUGUGCUCUUGGAGAGACCAGAAUGAUGCUAUGAAAGUGGCUACAUUACCAAAGAUGGUCUACAGAUUCAAUGCAAUUCCCACUGAACUCCAGUGAUAUUCUGCACAGAACUAGGAAAAAAAACAGUCCUAAAAUUUAUAUUGUAAAACAAAAAGCUAUGAAAAACAAAAACAAUCCUUACCAAAAGGAGGAGAAAUGUUGGGAAUACCGUUAUGCUUCAUUCCAGAUGAUACCAUAGAGCUGUUAUAACAAAAACAACGUGAUGCUGCCCCAAUGGAAUCUAGACCAAUGGAUUAAAAAAGAGGAGCAGAUAUAAACUUAGGUAGCUAUAGCUGCUUGGUUUUCGACAGAGAUGUCAAAAACACACAUUGGAGAAAUGGCAGCUACUUUAGCUAAUGGUGCUGAGGAGAACUGGCUAUCUACUGCAGGCACUGGAUAUCUACACGCAGGCACUAGCUCUUUAUCUCUCAGAUUGCACAACAAUAAAGUAAAACUCAACCAAAGACCAACUAAAAGACGCAAAACUCUGAAAUUAUUAGAAUAAAAAGAGAAAUUUAAAAAAAAAAACCUUUCCAAGAAAUAAGUCUAAUCAAGGACUUUCUGAAUAGGUCUCUAGUCUCUCAGUACAAGCAGGCAGAAACCACAACCGAGACCUCACGAAAUUAAAAACCUUCUGCACAGGAGAGAGGAACAGUGAACUGAGUGAAGAGAGACUACAAAAUGACAGGGAGUCUUGGCUAGCUCUGUGUCUGUCAGAGGACUAAUAUUAGAAUACAUCGAAAACUCAAAAAAAACUACUCAGUGAAUAACAGAACGAUGAAGUAAACAGACAAUUCUCAAAAUAUGACCCACAAAUGACCAAGAAACAUGAAAAAUUUCAAUUUCACUAGUUCUGAGGAUUAGUGUUGACUGUUGCCUGGAUAUAGUGUGUGACUAAAGGCUUCAAAGUCCUGCUGCCCUGACUUGCCCACAAUGACAAACUGUAACCUGGAAUUAUGAAUCAAAUUAAAACAUUCUCUCUUGAUUCUGUCAGGGUAUUUUAUCAUAUCAACAGGAAUGAAGCUAAGACACUAGCUGUCAUAGAAAUGCAAAUUAAGACUACAUUGUGUGUGUAUGUGUGUGUGUGUGUGUGUGUGUGUGUGUGUGUGAGAGAGAGAGAGAGAGAGAGAGAGAUUUUACCACAGGCAGAGCAAUCAGUCAAGGAGGGGGGAUGGGCUUAUGGGUCCCCACCUUUGCCUCUGAAAUAUUGGCUAUUUAUAGACUCUGAAAGAGGGUGAGUCACUGUCCUUAGUAUUAGACCUUCUGCUGAGCCUGCCAUGCUCCAAUGAUUAGCCCCAAACGUAUAGUGACACAGAUGGCUCUGAUUCAUCUCAGUGGGUUCUCAAAUAGAAUGAAUAGAUAGGAACGUGAAAGAAGAAUCUGUAGGAAUGUAGGAUGGUAUACAGUGGAAGUAGGGAGAGAGAAGGUGAGAGUGGCUUAUAUGCCAAGGGUAUAUAUGAGAUUUAAAAAAAAAAAGAAAGAAAGAAAAGAUCAAGAGAAAGAAAAAAAUCCCAACUACAGAGACACUUGUACAAUGCAGGACUCUUCACAAUAGCUAAAGAAUUAAGCCAACAGAAGUGUCUCACAACAGAGCAAUGGGUAUAAAAUAUGGCACAUAUUCAAAAUAGCUUUGUUUCAACAAUGACAGAGAGAAGUCUGUGAAGUCAUUAAAUGAGUCCCAGGGAGAAGAGUGCUGGACAUUUUGUCACUUCUUGCUUCUAGAUUUUAUGGAGCUGCAUAAAGUCAUGUAUGCAUGCACACAUGUAUGAUGGGAAGAUAGAAGGGGAACUGUCCUGGGAGCAAAGGGGACAAACUGAAAUGGAGAAUAGUGAGAAGAGAGGGGACCAAGGGUGCUGGAGGACCAAUAUGCUUAACAUGUAAUAUGUACUUGUAUGAAAACGUAAAAAAAGUUUCUUCAAAAGAACCUAAAAGUGACUUGAAAAAACUAUGAACUCUGAUGUAUCACUAGAGACAGGAAACACCAGUGAGGAGAAGAAAAUUAAUUUGUCUUCUUCUUUUACCUUAUUUCGUCUGGCUGUUCAGUUAAUGAGUUAUGAUCUUUAGUUGCACUUUCAAAGUUUACCUGCAUUGACAAGUGAUAAAGGAAUAGCAUACAGGUUUCAUGGGAUUUUGGACACAGAAAUAUUUGCCAGUAAAUAUUACAAUCCAUUUACUGGUUUGCUCUCCGUGCCCCAUCUGCUUUCUUGUACCAUGAAGGACCACCAGUC